CCUACGUGAGGCAGCAGUGAGGAAUAUUGGUCAAUGGACGCAAGUCUGAACCAGCCAUGUCGCGUGCAGGAAGACGGCUCUAUGAGUUGUAAACUGCUUUUGUACGAGGGUAAAACCAGAUACGUGUAUCUGUCUGAAAGUAUCGUACGAAUAAGGAUCGGCUAACUCCGUGCCAGCAGCCGCGGUAAUACGGAGGAUCCAAGCGUUAUCCGGAUUUAUUGGGUUUAAAGGGUGCGUAGGUGGUCUGUUAAGUUAGUGGUGAAAUCCCGAGGCUCAACUGCAGAAUUGCAAUUGAUACUGUUAGGCUAGAGAGGAGUUGCGGUAGGCGGAAUGUAUGGUGUAGCGGUGAAAUGCUUAGAGAUCAUGCAGAACACCGAUUGCGAAGGCAGCUUACCAAGCUGCUACUGACAUUGAGGCACGAAAGCGUGGGGAUCAAACAGGAUUAGAUACCCGUGUAGUC
rnacentral:rRNA from 1 species